ACACAUCCAUUAACAGGCUACUGCAUUGAACUAUUAAUCAUUUGUGAAAUUAAUUCUUUCUCUUCUUUUUCUUUAAAGGGCAGAUACAACUUCUAAAGAGAGAAAUGCUUCAGGAUAUACCUGUUGUCAUUAGGGUUCACAUACUUUUGAUACUUUUGAUAAAUACAUUGUCAGAUGGCUCACAGAUGGAUCUCUGUAUCCUGAAGUUCCCAGAAAAUGGAAUAAGGUGAAAGGAAACAAACAUUGUUUGAAUAAACUGUACUUGACAAUCUGUGAUGAACAGCAUUCAGAGGAGUAAAGGGCAUGUUUUGGCUCUGCUCUCCAUUGCAUGCUAAAUCUUCACAAGAACAAGUCUGGAAGAGGUCAUCUGAGUCCAGUCACCUGCUCACAUCUGCUAGCCAAACUGAAUCUGCUAGACCUAAACUUGAAUCUCAAUAAUGCCUCAUGCUACCAUCACAUCCCCUGAGCUACAGACCCGAACUAAGAAAAGGCGUAAUGAUCUUUUCAUACUUGUGAAACUACAAGAGCUAUCUGAACUGUAAAGCAGAUAUCUGCUCUACAUGAGCCCUGGCAGGGAGAUGUUUUGCUGCCAAUUUGCACUCUGCUUGGUUAGAACUUUGUAUUUCUCCUUCAGCAGGUUGGGAGAACAACCCCAUCCCAGCAACAGCACCAGCCAGUGGAAAGGAAACUUUGCAGUGGAAAAAUCAGAAGGGAAGCAUGGAACAGCUGGGUACAGACAGGGAGUGGAAAGACAGUUUUGCCUCUUCUGUGGUUGUUGGCAACUGAGAUGUACCCCAUGGCUGGGCAGUAAGGUAGGCACAUCCUUUGGGAUAUGUGGCACUGUUCAACAAGUUGCUUUGAAGAAUUAUGAAGCAGAGUUGAUAGAAUUUAGAAGCUCAUGUCUCAGUGAGAACUGACAAUAGUGUCUUGUCCUGAAUCUUUUAGAAAACUCUCUCCUUGGUUUUAUUAAAGUAGAAUUAAUCUCUUUGCAGGGGAUUGUUGCCAAUUCCGUAGGCACAUAUCAUCUACCUUCGGGGUUCUAAGGAGGAAUUGUUCAACAUUCACUGAAUCAUGAGGCAACCUAUAGCAUCUCUGUGUAUAAUCAAUGAAUAUGUGGAUGUUAUAAUUAAGAAAUAUACAAGAAAGUUAGGCUA